CACGUAGGGUGCGAGCGUUGUCCGGAAUUAUUGGGCGUAAAGAGCUCGUAGGCGGUGUGUCGCGUCGGCCGUGAAAACCUGCAGCUUAACUGUGGGCUUGCGGUCGAUACGGGCAUCACUGGAGUUCGGCAGGGGAGACUGGAAUUCCUGGUGUAGCGGUGAAAUGCGCAGAGUAUCAGGAAGAACACCCGUGGCGAAGGCGGCUCUCUGGGACGGUACUGACGCUGAGACGCGAAAGCGUGGGAACGAACAGG
rnacentral:rRNA from 1 species